rnacentral:lncRNA from 1 species
AUGUGUAUCUUGCUAUUGGUAUCAAUCGGUCCUCUCUUUCCUUUUGGUGGCGCAUGCUUAGAUUACCCUUAUUCUUCAUCUUCUCUACCCUUCGGUUGCUUAGGGCGCCCAGAGGGAUUCGCCUCUAGGAGAAUAGUUAUUGAUCACAUAGCUUGGGUACUAGAAGUUGCUGAUCGUAUCAUUCGGGCAGAGCCUGGGUCCCUUAGUAUUAUGUAUAGCGCAACUCCCUCUUUCUUUUGCUAG